ensembl:lncRNA
GAGAUCCUUGGUGGAGUUAGAAGGUGGAGCAAUAACUUUCUUGGCAGAGUAAAGAGUCAAAGUGACAACAUCAUUAGCAGAGUCAAGGGGCAGAGCAAACAUAUCCUGGGUGUAGUCAGGAGGUGAAGAGACAACAGCCUUGGUGGAGACAGGAGGUGGAGCAAAGAUGUCCUUGGGGGAGUCAGGAGGUGGAGCAAUGGUGUCAGUGGCAGAAUCAGGAGGUGUAGUUAUAAUGUCCUUGGCAGAGUCAGGAGGUGUAGAUAUGAUGUCAGGAGGUGUAGUUAUAAUGUCCUUGAUGGAGUCAGGAGGUGUAGUUAUAAUGUCCUUGUUGUAGUCAGGAGGUGUAGUUAUAAUGUCCUUGAUGGAGUCAGGAGGUGUAGUUAUAAUGUCCUUGGGGGAGUCAGGAGGUGUAGUUAUAAUGUCCUUGGGGGAGUCAGGAGGUGUAGUUAUAAUGUCCUUGAUGGAGUCAGGAGGUGUAGUUAUAAUGUCC